GCCGGAGUGGCGGAAUGGCAGACGCGCGGGACUCAAAAUCCCGUAUCCGCAAGGGUGUGUGGGUUCGACUCCCACCUCCGGCACCA
rnacentral:tRNA from 2 species